CCUACGGGGGGCUGCAGUGGGGAAUAUUGCACAAUGGGCGAAAGCCUGAUGCAGCAACGCCGCGUGAGCGAUGAAGGCCCUCGGGUCGUAAAGCCCUGUCCUCAAGGAAGAUAAUGACGGUACUUGAGGUGGAAGCCCCGGCAAACUACGUGCCAGCAGCCGCGGUAAUACGUAGGGGGCUAGCGUUAUCCGGAAUUACUGGGCGUAAAGGGGGCGUAGGUGGUUUCUUAAGUCAGAGGUGAAAGGCUACGGCUCAACCGUAGUAAGCCGUUGAAACUGGGGAACUUGAGUGCAGGAGAGGAGAGUGGAAUUCCUAGUGUAGCGGUGAAAUGCGUAGAUAUUAGGAGGAACACCAGUUGCGAAGGCGGCACUCUGGACUGUAACUGACACUGAGGCACGAAAGCGUGGGGAGCAAACAGGAUUAGAUACCCGGGUAGUC
rnacentral:rRNA from 1 species